UACGAGGGGUCCAAGCGUUGUUCGGAAUUACUGGGCGUAAAGCGGGUGUAGGUGGCCAUGAAAGUCGGAUGUGAAAGCCCAGGGCUCAACCCUGGAAGUGCAUCCGAUACUUCAUGGCUUGAGUACUAGAGAGGGAAGUGGAAUUCCUGGUGUAGCGGUGAAAUGCGUAGAUAUCAGGAGGAACAUCGGUGGCGAAGGCGGCUUCCUGGCUAUGUACUGACACUCAGACCCGAAAGCGUGGGUAGCAAACAGG
rnacentral:misc_RNA from 1 species